CCUACGGGCGGCAGCAGUGAGGAAUAUUGGUCAAUGGCCGGAAGGCUGAACCAGCCAUGCCGCGUGAAGGUCAGUGCCCUAUGGGCGUUAAACUUCUUUUGUGCGGGAGCAAUAAUGGUCACGUGUGGCCAGACGAGAGUACCGUACGAAUAAGCAUCGGCUAACUCCGUGCCAGCAGCCGCGGUAAUACGGGGGAUGCAAGCGUUAUCCGGAGUUAUUGGGUUUAAAGGGUGCGUAGGCUGUGAGGUAAGUCAGCGGUGAAAUGCCCCCGCUCAACGGGGUGAAGUGCCAUUGAUACUGCCUGGCUGGAAUGCGGAUGCCGUGGGAGGAAUGUGUGGUGUAGCGGUGAAAUGCAUAGAUAUCACACAGAACACCGAUUGCGAAGGCAUCUCACGAAUCCGCGAUUGACGCUGAUGCACGAAAGCGUGGGUAUCAAACAGGAUUAGAUACCCUUGUAGUC
rnacentral:rRNA from 1 species